CCAGCUGCAUCCAGAGGGUCAGGAACAAGAGCAGCUGAGGGAGUCUUCAAAUGAGCAGCUCCAAGGCAGCAAGUGGAGCCCAGCCUGGAGGGAUGCAGGAGUGAAGAGAAAUGGAUGGAAUUCUCAAAAAUCACCAGUGUGGCAGCUGAAGGCUCGAUUCAUGGAUUUUACUGACUUCAGCUGAUAUCCAUUCCCGUAUAGGAAAUGAUUCUCUUCGAUUCAGUAGAUUUCCAGGACACACUGGUGACCAGUUGCUGCUAGAUCUGCCCAGGAAUUCCAUCCCUGGAUAGAGAGAACAACGUGCUGCAGCUGCUGAAAGGAAACACCUCACAAAGGAAGCCCAAAUCCCAGGGAACAGGGGAACAGAAGUUAAGCUUUGCAAUGUGUUUCUGCUUUGCUGCAAAACAGGCUUAAACAAAAACCAACUUAUGCUGCUGGUCCCAUUUUAAUGUUGGAGGAAAGCCCCCUGUCCUCCAGUCAGGGACAAAAGAGCUGUAGAACGCUGUCUUGUGGAGAGCUGAAAAUAACAGGGAGGUUUCGUGUAGUUACAGAGAAGGUUUUGGGUGGAAGUGACCUCCUGGACCAUGUGGAUCUGGUCUGCCAGAGUGGCUCCUGGAAGGCUGCAUGGGGAAAUCUCCUCAACACCAUUGUGUCAUGUCUGGUUAGGGUGUCCCAUGUAUCCAGGUGGCCAAUGGCAGCCUCAAAUGAACAGAUUUGGUAGAAGGCUGGCAGGAGUUGCAAUUGUAGCUCACAUCCAGUUUGCUGAAAAACAUAAGAGCUUGGGCUGGUAGAGCUUCAGCUUCUGGGCAGGGCUUGCAAGUUGCCAUAUGCUGAUGGGCCAGGCUGCCUCUCAAGCCAAUUUCCAGCUGGCCUGAAGGAUUUGGGAUUGUCCAAAUACAGUGGAAACUGUUUGUUUAAGCAGAGAAAAAUGAUACUACUUCAUAGAAGUGUCUCUAGAUUGCUGUAAGCCAAAUGCAGCCUUCUGUCCAGGAACUUUGUUGUUUGUGGUUUUCAUCUGUAUCUGAGUCAAUAGGAAAGAAAAAAUGUUUGGGAAUUGCUUAAUGGGGAAUGAUGUUAAUAGCAGUCAAAUGAAAUGGAUUAGUUUGCCAGUUGUUCAAGAUAAGCCCCUGGGCAGCGCCCUGCAGCUUUAUUAGAUAAAUAAAGGGAGAUCUGAUUGUGACAGGGCUCCCCAACUGUGAGACUGGGGGUGAGAAGGAGCUAUGUCAUGAUAAAGAAACUGCUGAGGAUACUCAGUUAUGGAUACCUGUGAGGAAUUUAAAUUAUUGAUGGGAAUAUCCAUCAGCAAAGAGGUCUUAGCCUGUACAGGUUACAGAGUGUGUUGAUAGCUGGUGGCAGAACAUUGAGAGAGAUGCUAGUGGGAGCCACAGGGGGACUGUGAGAAUACCUUGACAUGUAAACAACAAAAGGUGGCUUGAAAAUUGCAUGAAGAACAAAAAUAUAUAUUUGUGUGGUUUAAUAGAGGAUAUAAAGGAGAUUAGAAGUACAACUGAAGGGUGUUUUUGGGUAUCAUGAAGAGCAGGGAUAUUCAUCUUUAUAUUUGCACAUGCUGGAGCUUUUUCCUGAAGUGGGAAGGCCUUUGCAAGGUCUCAGACAGCAUUGAUGCUACCUUGGGGGUACUCAGUAGAAAUGUAGUGGAGCAUGAAUGCUCCUGGAGCCCUUGUGAAAUGGAGCGUUCUCAUGGCAUUAGAAUUGGGUAUGGUGAAGAAAUCUUUCAUCAAAGUCAGGCUGAAGUAAAUGAGGGAGAAGUACUUAGCAAGAAAAUUCAGAAUUAACAGGGUGUUAAAUUGCUGCCAGAGACCCUUGUGACACAAGUGGCCAGGGAAUGCAUAAUGUCCUUGCAGGAAAAAACAGUUCAGAAGGUAUAAAAUGGAUGUAGCCAGAGCACCUUUGCUGCUGCUUGGACUGUGUGACAGCACUGUAGUUUGUGUUUAAGCUACAUAUACAAGUUUGUAUGUUCUUCCACAUUCUUCCUCUUUGAGAAGAUUCCAUAUCCACAAUUUCAUUUUGGAAUGGAUUUUUACAAAGAAUCAUAGAAUGGUUGGGCUGGAAGGGAUUCGAAAGAUCAAAUUAUUCCAACUGCCCAUCAUGGGCAGGGACACCUUCCCCUGGACCAGGUUGCUCAGAGCUCUCUCCAGCCACGUUCCCCUGGAGAUUAUUGGACCCCCUUUAAAAAAACAACAAAUAAAUACCCCACAUUGCUAAGUUAUAAAACCAACCUCAAAAAACAUCCCCUACCCCUUUUUUAUUGCACAUCACGCUCUCCCCAAGUGGUGAGGGCUUCCUUGGGUUACAAUUCUGUUGUUCCACUGACCCACCAAUAAACUGCUGCUCUGUAGUGAACAAGAUGGAAAAACCAGAAUCUAAGUUGAAGGUUUUAUACAGAAAUGUAAGGGCCUUUAGUAUGUUGACCUCCUGUUUAAUUUCUGUGCCUUACUAGAUAAAUAUACUUUACAAAUAUAAAUGGUGUUAGUUAAGCUUCUCUUUGAGAGCAGUAUAAAGUACUGGGGUGGUAAUUGAUGAUGAGAUUGCAUCCUUGGGGAACAGGCGAGGGAGAGGUGGGGGGUGUACGACAGAAUAAAUGAACUGAGAAUCCAAAAUCGCUGCCAAGAACGUAAUUAUGGAAUGUUUGAGGUGGUUGUGUAGUGAGUCUUAGUGGUGAAAUAAGUAGGGAGCUAUUUUCUAAACAACUGAGCUGUUUGUGAAGAACCAGAACGUGCUGAAAUUCAGGAGGCAGUGGGAACCCUUGGGAAUAACAAAGCACCAGGUGCUGUUAAUGUCACCGUAGGAACUCCAAGAAUUAUCACUUUGAUUUUGUUAGCCUGGGGCAAAAAAAGCCAAGGAACAGUGAGUAAUGGCCAUAAUGAAUAGAAGAUAAGAUUUUGAUUGCAUAGAGAAGAGCUAUUUAUUUGCUAAUACAGAAAGCAAGCGUCUGGAACUAACACAGGCCAAGUCCUGAUGGAGUGACCGCUGAGUCACCGCUGGGCAGGGAGUCACCACUCAGAUGGAAAGGUGACAGCCUGUGCUGCUUGCUGGAGUGUGAGGAUUCUUGAUCUUUCCAAACUGCCACUUUCCAACUCAUUUUUUUGCCUCUUCACAUCCGUGUUUUUCUCUUAACUACUGCCGACUUGAAAGUUUUUGUUAUUUGUUCAUAAAUGCUGUAAAAAUCUCCCAGCUCUUUAUUUUAUGUGUUUUCUUUGAGCUGGUUCAGCAACAGUCUUUUGCUUCAAAUCUAGCAAGGGUCAUAGACCUGUGCUUUACAAAAUUUAGCCAUGUAUUCGGGAUAGUUAAUCCUUAUUAAAGUGGGUUAUAGUCCAUCCAUCUGCAAAACAAACUCAAUGAUGCCUUUAUUAUUUGCCCCCCCUCCUCCCUGCCAAGGAUUUUCAGAAUAAUAGAGGAGCUUUGAGAAGUUUUGAUGAGACACAGUGAUUGAAUUAAGAAGUUCAACAGUAGGCUAAAUAUAAGUAAUAUUAAUUUCUCAAAUCUGUGAGAAAUUUUGUACCGGUUCAUCUAAGUAGCAAAGGAUUAAUAAUUCAUAUAAAUCAUAAAGGUUUAGUAAAUCAUGCAUCAAGUUAAGAUCCUACUUGCUAUUACAUUUUCAGACAUUGAGUCAGCAGCUUUAUAACUGUAACCAUCAGAAUUUCAAAUGUUAAAUGUAUUUUUAACACUGCUUAAGACUGCAUAAGAAAUUAUAGAAGGUCACCCUUUUGAAAAAUGUACCUGUGCAUGUGUAAUUUGAUACAUGUAACAUGAUCUAUUAUGCACAUCAGGUUUGUAUUGUGCAAUUUUAUUACAUUAAGUGCAGCACAAAUUGUGUUUUAUUUCACAUUCUGCCAACAAAGUCGCUGACUGAGAGUUGUAUUUCCAAGGCAAAGAUCUGCUUCUGAGGAAUUUCAAACACAGAAAUACCACUUUUACUAGAUGUGUGCAAGGCCAGGCACAACUUCUCUCAGAGCUCUGCAUCAUCUUUAACUGAAAAAGAAUUAUGUGGUGUGAUCAAGAUUGUCAUCAGCCAGAAAGGUUAGGUAUUAGAGGGAAGAAGUCAGCUUAUAAAAUCUGAUUAUUUUUAUCUCAUCCAUUUGCCUGUCAGUAAUGGUAAUCGAAUAUGUCUGUACACGUUAACAUUAAGGUGUUUGUAUUUACAUAUGCAGUUAUAUGUUUAUAAAGACUUUUAUUCUC